CACCGGCGGCCCGAGUGGUAGCCGCUAUUAUUGGGUCUAAAGGGUCCGUAGCCGGUUCGAUAAGUCCUCUGGGAAAUCUGGUUGCUUAACAAUCAGACUGCCAAGGGAUACUGUCGAACUUGAGACCGGGAGAGGUAAGAGGUACUUCAGGGGUAGGAGUGAAAUCUUGUAAUCCCUGGGGGACCAUCUGUGGCGAAGGCGUCUUACCAGAACGGGUCUGACGGUGAGGGACGAAAGCUGGGGGCGCAAACCGGAUUAGAUACCCGGGUAGUCCCAGCCGUAAACGAUGCUCGCUAUGUGUCAGGUACGGUGUGACCGUAUCUGGUGCCGUAGGGAAGCCGUGAAGCGAGCCACCUGGGAAGUACGGCCGCAAGGCUGAAACUUAAAGGAAUUGGCGGGGGAGCACUACAACGGGUGGAGCCUGCGGUUUAAUUGGAUUCAACGCCGGAAAUCUUACCGGGGGAGACAGCAGCAUGAAGGUCAGGCUGAAGACCUUACCAGAUCCGCUGAGAGGAAGUGCAUGGCCGUCGUCAGUUCGUACUGUGAAGCAUCCUGUUAAGUCAGGCAACGAGCGAGACCCGUGCCCACAGUUGCCAGCAUGCCCUUCGGGGGAUGGGUACUUUGUGGGGACCGCCGCUGCUAAAGCGGAGGAAGGAGCGGGUUACGGUAGGUCAGUAUGCUCCGAAACUCCCGGGCUACACGCGGGCUACAAUGGUUGGGACAAUGGGAAUCAACACCGAAAAGGUGAAGGCAAGUCUCCUAAACCCAAAUCGAAGUUCGGAUUGAGGGACGNAACUCGCCCUCAUGAAGCUGGAAUCCGUAGUAAUCGCGUUUUCAACACAGCGCGGUGAAUACGUCCCUGUCCGUUGCACACACCGCCCGUCAGAUUUACCAGUC
rnacentral:rRNA from 1 species